CAACUGUCUCCUAUCUCGCCACUCUGCCGCACAAGGAAGAUACUGGAAGACUCAGAACAAGUUCCCUGGGUGCUGUCCCCUUGGGGCGGUGCUGCCCUCUGACUGAGAUGGUCCCUCCAGACGUGUGCCUGAUGUGCAGGAUGAAGAGGGGCUGCCGGCUAAGGGGCAUGGAGAAGGUGCACGGACCCCUGCCAGGCUUCCCGGGUUGGUGGCUGGAGUGCAGCUUGCAAGGUGGACGAGCCCCUGGGCACAGGCAGGGGCGGGGUCAGAGGUCCGGGCUGCCACACGGGGACUCGGGUGUGCUUGGGCAACAAGGCGGUGGGGGAAACCUGCGUCCAGACUGCAUAGUCCCUGUGGGCUCAUGUACCCAGGCUGCAUCCCGAAGAUGGGGUGCACUGAACACUGCAGAACGGAAGCAGUUUGAUCCGUUCAGAAAGAAUUCAGAAGUGGCCCUUCCAUGUCAUCCUUGACACAGCUGGGCUGGAUGAGUGCAGGGCAUGAGAGGGCCUCCGGAUCGGCUGCAGCUUUCCAUGGCAUGUUUUAGGGCUUGCUUGGGCAUGGACUGAUUCCUGAGCUCCGGGGCUGUAGGUGAAGUUCCAGUGCCA
ensembl:lncRNA